AACAGGCCAGGGUGUGUGUUGUGUCCCCUGUUGUGUGCAUGAUGCAGGCUGACCUUCCUCCAUCCUUGUCUUUAAAAAAUCAGGUUGCAGACAGAAAACUGAAAGCGCUGCUGAAUGGCUCGACACCAACUUGGGUCGAUUCUCCUCUUUAGCCAGUUACUCAGACCUCAAGUCCCUGAACAUUAGCAUGUUGGCAGCUCUGGGAUCCCUAGCACCCGAUCAGAAAGCAGAGCUACUGUUGGAUCCAUCCACCGAUGCUCUAGACAAUGUCACCGUGGUACAGGAGGUGUUGACCAGCAUACUGACGUCUCCAGAUGAGAAACAACUUGAGAUGUUUUUUGAAACAUUUGUGAAAGUCAGCAAAGUGGUGAGUAAUGUUUGUAGGUAGGUCUUCAGAAUGACUAACCUUUAUGAGCUGAACCGGAUUUUAGAUAUUUAAACAAGCCAACAGCAACCCCUCCUUCCUCCACCCCUUCAGGAAAGUAUAACCUACAUCGAAAAUGUGGCUGUCCGAGACACAAUGCUGAAUCUGACCAUGACUGCCCUGGCUCCCAAACUUCCCCUAUUUGAAACAAGCGACUAUGAGCUGUGGUUCCAAACCAAUCUGGUGGUCCUGCUGGCCAGCUUCAGUCCUACAGUGCUGGAAGUCAUCCCUGCCAACAUCACAUGCGAAUCUUACCAAGCAAUGUGAGCAAACCAGCCCCCUUGGCUUUAAUUUCUCAAUCGUUCUGUAGAAAUAAAAGUGGAGAUUGAGCAAUGUUGUUUGUUUUGACAGACUGGAAGGCAUGAAGAUAGCUUUGGCAGAUCUUCCGUCAGGAGUUGGAGUAGAGCUAAAUUCAAGUGUAGACACACUUCAACAUUCACCACCAAAAGCCUGCACGACUCCACCACCCACCACACCCCCCACAGUGCCCCCCACCAUGCCAUCCACCACACCGUCCCCAGUACCACCCACUGCACCACCGACCGUGUCCCCCACCGCUGUUGUAAGUACUUCAUCUGGUGGCAUUAUGCCCAAGAUAAGCUCUUCCUAAUUCUUUUCUCUAAUUUUUG
rnacentral:lncRNA from 1 species